rnacentral:rRNA from 1 species
UACGAAGGGUGCGAGCGUUAAUCGGAAUGACUGGGCGUAAAGGGUGCGCAGGCGGAGUGUUAAGACGGAUGUGAAAUCCCUGGGCUUAACCUGGGAAUGGCAUACGUGACUGACACACUAGAGGAUGGCAGAGGGAGGCGGAAUUCCACGUGUAGCAGUGAAAUGCGUAGAUAUGUGGAGGAACACCGAUGGCGAAGGCAGCCUCCUGGGCCAAUCCUGACGCUCAGGCACGAAAGCGUGGGGAGCAAGCAGG